AAAAGGGAGAAAUGUUUUCAUACAAUACCAUGAGGAGUAGGAGACUUACAAUCUCACUUAUAAAAAUUCCUUUGCUUUAUGGACGAAUUUAGCGUUAUGUUAAGCAAUUGUAAUUGGACUUAUGUAGAAGUCACAAUUAUCUGAGGCCGGUCAAUAUUAAUGUUAGUGUUAAUAUAUGUUAGAGAAAUAAUAUGUAAAUCCUCCUCCUAAAGUCAUGCCACACAAAAAAGAAAAAAAAGGAAUGAUCAAACACAAA
rnacentral:lncRNA from 1 species